rnacentral:rRNA from 1 species
CCUACGGGAGGCAGCAGUGGGGAAUAUUGGGCAAUGGGCGCAAGCCUGACCCAGCAACGCCGCGUGAAGGAAGAAGGCUUUCGGGUUGUAAACUUCUUUUGUCAGGGAAGAGUAGAAGACGGUACCUGACGAAUAAGCCACGGCUAACUACGUGCCAGCAGCCGCGGUAAUACGUAGGUGGCAAGCGUUGUCCGGAUUUACUGGGUGUAAAGGGCGUGUAGCCGGGUUGACAAGUCAGAUGUGAAAUCCUGCGGCUUAACCGCAGAACUGCAUGUGAAACUGUUGAUCUUGAGUACUGGAGAGGAAGAUGGAAUUCCUAGUGUAGCGGUGAAAUGCGUAGAUAUUAGGAGGAACACCAGUGGCGAAGGCGGUCUGCUGGACAGCAACUGACGGUGAGGCGCGAAAGCGUGGGGAGCAAACAGGAGUAGAUACCCCAGUAGUC